GGCUCAGUGGCCAAAUGGAUUAAGGCACCGGACUCCUAAUCCGGAGAUUGUGGGUUCGAUCCCCAUCUGAGUCG